rnacentral:rRNA from 1 species
UUCCGGUUGAUCCUGCCGGACCUGACUGCUAUCGGAUUGAUACUAAGCCAUGCGAGUCAUUGUAGCAAUACAAGGCAGACGGCUCAGUAACGCGUAGUCAACCUACCCUAUGGACGGGAAUAACCUCGGGAAACUGAGUAUAAUGCCCGAUAGAACACUAUACCUGGAAUGGUUUGUGUUUCAAAUGAUUUAUUGCCGUAGGAUGGGACUGCGGCCUAUCAGUUUGUUGGUGAGGUAAUGGCCCACCAAGACUAUUACAGGUACGGGCUCUGAGAGGAGUGGCCCGGAGAUGGGUACUGAGACACGGACCCAGGCCCUAUGGGGUGCAGCAGGCGAGAAAACUUUGCAAUGUGCGAAAGCACGACAAGGUUAAUCCGAGUGGUUUCUGCUAAAGGAACCUUUUGACAGUCCUAGAAACACUGUUGAAUAAGGGGUGGGCAAGUUCUGGUGUCAGCCGCCGCGGUAAAACCAGCACCUCAAGUGGUCAGGAUGAUUAUUGGGCCUAAAGCAUCCGUAGCCGGCUCAGUAAGUUUUCGGUUAAAUCUGUACGCUCAACGUACAGGCUGCCGGGAAUACUGCAGAGCUAGGGAGUGGGAGAGGUAGACGGUACUCGGGAGGAAGUGGUAAAAUGCUUUGAUCUUUCGAUGACCACCUGUGGCGAAGGCGGUCUACCAGAACACGUUCGACGGUGAGGGAUGAGAGCUGGGGGAGCAAACCGGAUUAGAUACCCGGGUAGUCCCAGCUGUAAACUAUGCAAACUCAGUGAUGCAUUGGCUUGUGGCCAAUGCAGUGUUGCAGGGAAGCCGUUAAGUUUGCCGCCUGGGAAGUACGUACGCAAGUAUGAAACUUAAAGGAAUUGGCGGGGGAGCACCACAAGGGGUGAAGCCUGCGGUUCAAUUGGAUUCAACGCCGGA